AUGAAUAAACUUGGUCAAGCUGUUGCUGGUCCCUCGGGAUAUGUGCACGCUUGCCACCAAUUUUAACCACCUGUGCACUUUUUGUAGAUUGGAAACGUUUCUCGAGGCAACUCGGAUUGAGAACUGCUGUGCGAAAGCCGGCUGUUCUUGUGUUUCUCAGUCUAUGUUUCAUAUACUCCGAAUGUAUGUAAAUGAAUGUAUAGCUAGGCCUUAGUGCCUCUAAAUCUAAUA
rnacentral:misc_RNA from 1 species